GACGAACGCUGGCGGCGUGCUUAACACAUGCAAGUCGAGCGGUAAGGCCCUUUCGGGGGUACACGAGCGGCGAACGGGUGAGUAACACGUGGGUGACCUGCCCUCAGCUCUGGGAUAAGCCUGGGAAACCGGGUCUAAUACUGGAUAUGACUCCAUGACGCAUGUUGUGGGGUGGAAAGCCUUGUGCGGCUGAGGAUGGGCCCGCGGCCUAUCAGCUUGUUGGUGGGNGAUGGCCUACCAAGGCGACGACGGGUAGCCGGCCUGAGAGGGCGACCGGCCACACUGGGACUGAGACACGGCCCAGAC
rnacentral:rRNA from 1 species